UGAGUUGUCUAGGUAAUCGCUCGCUUUGGUGAGAGGAAAGUCCGAGCUUCGCAGGGUAUGGUGCUAGUUAACGGCUAGUCGAGGUGACUCGAAGGAAAGUGCCACAGAAAGCAAACAUCUAACUCUUGAGUUAGUUAAGGUGAAAGGGUGCGGUAAGAGCGCACCGGGGAUAUGGUGACAUAUCUCGCAUGGUAAACCCCACCAGAAGCAAGGUCGCAGAGAAGUAAGCUUGACUUACCUAGGUACCCGCCUAGUAUCUUUGUUAAUCCCGCUCGAGUUAAUGGUGACAUUAACGAAAGAUGAAUGAUUACUACUAUUGAUUUGGUAACAAACUUUAGUACAGGACUCGGCUUAUGGGCAACUCAGACC
rnacentral:RNase_P_RNA from 1 species